CUGUGAUCAGAGGCCUGCAGGAACCUACCAUAUUUUCCCUAGAAGCAAGCGUUCAAUAUUCACUAAUUCAGUGUUCAUGGGGACUUUAUGGAACAUCUCUACUAGGCACUGGGAGGCAGAUUCAUCAUGAAGCUAAUGAAGCGCAAGCAUCAGGGCACUGCACCUAAACAGACCCAUUCUGAGGCUCUGGGAAGGACCCCAGCAAUGGUUCACCUGGUUACAUAUUUUUGUAAAUUUUGUAAAAGGAGACCAUUUAAACCAAAUCACUUAAAACUGCUAUCUCUUUCUACUCUUUCUCACCAUCACACUUCCCAUGUCCACUCCUCUGGCCACAGACAUCUUGGAGAUCCAGCUAAGGAUAAGAUAGGUUGAAGAUGCAUUUAAUUUUUAUUUAGUGGAUUCAUUUAUGUGAUUUGCAGUCACUUUUGCAAAUGUUACGGUAUUGCUAGUUGUAGUAAGGUCAAUGGAGGCACCAAAAGAUAUGUCCACCCAGCAUCUGUGAAUGUGACUUUAUUUGGAAAAAGGCUCUUUGCAGAUGUAAUUGAGUUAAGGAUCUCAAGAUGGGAUCAUUCUGGAUUAGGGUGAUCCCAAAUUCCAACGACAAGUGUCCUUUUAAGAGAAGGUGAAUGGACAUGGAAUGGAGAGCACCAUGUGAAGAUGCCGAGGUUGGAGUGACUCAUAUACAAACCAAGGAACCCCAAGGACUGUUGGCAGCCACCACAAGCAAGGAGCAGGGCGAGGACCAGAUUUGCCCGCAGAGUCUCCAAAAAGGAACUAAUCCUGCCAACACCUUGGUGUCACACUUCCAGCCUCCAAAACUCUGGGGAAUAAAUAUAUGUUGUUUUAA